UGCCAGCCAGAGGCUGCCCUUGAAGAUCACCAGGGUUCAGGGACUGCCCAUGAAGGGAGGGACUGUCAUCAGUGCUCUGCUGUUUCAGAUUUCAGCCAUCGUAUCUUUGUCUUCUUCUGUGCAGUAUGAAAACAGAGUGACAGUAAUUUGUGCUUGGUGCUCAUCAGACACACUGUAAUUGGGGGGAGAGGUUAGGGUCAGCAGGAAUCUAAUUUAGGCACUGAUGAGCUGCACCAACAGGCCAAGCUCCCUGGGAGGUCGGUGUACAUUCAGCAGUGCUUCCCCAGCACAGGGUUUUGCUUCACAUCCCUGCUCCAGUCUGACAGAAGAAGGAUUUGAACAUUCAUCUCUGACUAGCAAGAAGGGCGUCAGUACGUCUCCAUCUUCAAACAAGCUAGGAACGUGGGACAUUUGACAGAGAUUGUCCCUUCAAAGUUAGUGGAGGCCUGUCUGCAAUAUUGAAUUUGUGUUCCAGAGGAAAGAGCUCUUACAGAAAUACCUAGAGAAACUGCUUUUGCUGAAAUGUUCUGUGUUAGUCUCUUGCUACAUCAGGACCAAGGUGGCGAUGUUGCUGCUAUAAAACUAGUGAGAAUCAUCUACUUUUAAAUUUACUGGUUUUAUUCCUACCCAUGCUUUGCACCAGUGUACAAAACAAAACAAAACAACAAA